rnacentral:rRNA from 1 species
CCUACGGGGGGCAGCAGUGGGGAAUAUUGGUCAAUGGGCGCAAGCCUGACCCAGCAACGCCGCGUGAAGGAAGAAGGCUCUCGGGUUGUAAACUUCUUUUAUCAGGGACGAAGCAAGUGACGGUACCUGAUGAAUAAGCCUCGGCUAACUACGUGCCAGCAGCCGCUGUAAUACGUAGGUGGCAAUCGUUAUCCGGAUUUACUGGGUGUAAAGGUCGUUUAGGCGCGAAAGCAAGUCAGAUGUGAAAACCAUGGGCUCAACCUGUGGCCUGCAUUUGAAACUGUUUGUCUUGAGUACUGGAGAGGAAGACGGAAUGCCCAGGGUAGCGGUGAAAUGCGUAGAUAUUAGGAGGAACACCAGUGGCGAAGGUGGUAUGCUGGACAGAAACUGACGCUGAGGCGCGAAAGCGUGGGUAGCAAACAGGAUUAGAUACCCGAGUAGUC